rnacentral:misc_RNA from 1 species
CCUAUCAUCCAGUGUGGUCGCGGCCUCCGGGUUCUUCCCGGGCGGUAGAGGUAACACUCUCACGCGCCACGCGUUUGAAUCCUUUUUUUACGAGCACCUUUCGUUCUCCUUCGGUGGGGCAACCUGCCGUUGGAAUCAUACAAAAACCUUUUUUGCAUCUAGCAUUACCUGUUCCGAUAACAAACAAUCGUUA